AUGCAUUUGGUCAAGCUUUACUUACGGCACAGCGAAAUAAAGGAAGAAGGUAAAAUCAUGGAAAUACUAGGGCCACUUCCCAACCUCAUGCAGCUUCGUCUUGGAACCAGCUCUUAUAUCGGGGAGAAGUUGGCGUUCAAAACGGGGGCAUUCCCAAAUCUCAAGAAUCUGGAUAUUUGGUUUCUGGAGCAACUGAGAGAGUUGAAAUUUGAGGAUGGCACCUCACCCCAGCUGGCAAUGAUAGAUAUCAGUUUGUGCGAAUUGGCAUCAGGAAUUAUUGGAGUCAACCAGCUUCCAAAGCUCAAGCAGAUCUCACUUGGUCCCUAUGGUCAAGUGGCGAAGCUUGCUAUGCUGCAAAGUGAAGUGGACGCCCACCCCAACAGUCCCGUGCUGCGACUGUUCAAUCAACGGAGCUACCAUGAUCUGGGGGACGUCGUCGUCCAAGUGGAAGAAGCAACGGAGGAAUCAUCAUCUCUCCAUCCUGAGCCUGCAGCAGCGGGAGGGAGCUCAGAAUCGGUGGUGACAACAAACGUCAGCCAAGACGAUCUGCUUUACACUUAUAAUUCGUGCUGA
rnacentral:rRNA from 1 species